rnacentral:snRNA from 1 species
AGCUUUGCACAGUGGCAGUAUGGUAUCCAGUGAGGUUUAUCUGAGGUGCAAUUAUUACUAAUUGAAAAUUUUUCCCAAUAUCCAGCUCUGACGACUUGAAAUAUAAUCAGCAUUGGAAAUAUUUGACAGUCUCUACAGAGA